GACGAACGCUGGCGGCGCGCCUAACACAUGCAAGUCGAACGAGCGAGAGAGAGCUUGCUUUCUCGAGCGAGUGGCGAACGGGUGAGUAACGCGUGAGGAACCUGCCUCAAAGAGGGGGACAACAGUUGGAAACGACUGCUAAUACCGCAUAAGCCCACGGCUCGGCAUCGAGCAGAGGGAAAAGGAGCAAUCCGCUUUGAGAUGGCCUCGCGUCCGAUUAGCUAGUUGGUGAGGUAACGGCCCACCAAGGCGACGAUCGGUAGCCGGACUGAGAGGUUGAACGGCCACAUUGGGACUGAGACACGGCCCAGACUCCUACGGGAGGCAGCAGUGGGGAAUAUUGCACAAUGGGGGAAACCCUGAUGCAGCGACGCCGCGUGGAGGAAGAAGGUCUUCGGAUUGUAAACUCCUGUUGUUGGGGAAGAUAAUGACGGUACCCAACAAGGAAGUGACGG
rnacentral:rRNA from 1 species